rnacentral:ncRNA from 1 species
AAGGCGACUUCCGAAAAGCCCAAAGAGUAGGAA